GACGAACGCUGGCGGCGUGCUUAACACAUGCAAGUCGAACGGAAAGGCCCUUCGGGGUACCCGAGUGGCGAACGGGUGAGUAACACGUGGGUGAUCUGCCCUGCACUUUGGGAUAAGCCUGGGAAACUGGGUCUAAUACCGAAUAGGACCACGCGCUUCAUGGUGUGUGGUGGAAAGCUUUUGCGGUGUGGGAUGGGCCCGCGGCCUAUCAGCUUGUUGGUGGGGUAAUGGCCUACCAAGGCGACGACGGGUAGCCGGCCUGAGAGGGUGACCGGCCACACUGGGCCUGCGAUACGGCCCAGACUCCUACGGGAGGCAGCAGUGGGGAAUAUUGCACAAUGGGCGCAAGCCUGAUGCAGCGACGCCGCGUGAGGGAUGACGGCCUUCGGGUUGUAAACCUCUUUCGAUAGGGACGAAGCGCAAGUGACGGUACCUAUAGAAGAAGCACCGGCCAACUACGUG
rnacentral:rRNA from 1 species